rnacentral:rRNA from 1 species
UACGAGGGGGGCGAGCGUUGUUCGGAAUUAUUGGGCGUAAAGGGUGCGUAGGCGGCCUGACAAGUCUGAUGUGAAAUCCCUGGGCUCAACCCAGGGCCUGCAUCGGAAACUGUCGGGCUUGAGUAUGGGAGAGGUGAGUGGGAAUUUCCGGUGUAGCGGUGAAAUGCGUAGAUAUCGGAAGGAACACCUGUGGCGAAAGCGGCUCACUGGACCAUUACUGACGCUGAGGCACGAAAGCUAGGGAGCAACAGG